AGAAACAGAGGUUGAGACAAGAUCCACUUUCUUCAAUAUGACUUUUCGGUACUUUAAUUCCAUCACUGAUUCAGUGGUAUGAAGUUAGAAAUGCCAAUCUUCACACUCCAUCCCCCUUUUAUCAUCAGAAGCAACAGCAUGGGACAAGAAUUCACCUCUCCACCUCAACCCAGAGACAACAUUGGUCUACAGUUGCCUGAGGAAAAGCCA